GAUACCCCUGUAGUCCUGGCCGUAAACGAUGAACACUAGGUGUCGGGGGAAUCGACCCCCUCGGUGUCGUAGCCAACGCGUUAAGUGUUCCGCCUGGGGAGUACGCACGCAAGUGUGAAACUCAAAGGAAUUGACGGGGGCCCGCACAAGCGGUGGAGUAUGUGGUUUAAUUCGAUGCAACGCGAAGAACCUUACCAGGGUUUGACAUCCUGCGAACCUCUGAGAAAUCGGAGGGUGCCUUCGGGAACGCAGAGACAGGUGGUGUAUGGCUGUCGUCAGCUCGUGUCGUGAGAUGUUGGGUUAAGUCCCGCAACGAGCGCAACCCACGUCGUUAGUUGCCAGCAUUCAGUUGGGCACUCUAGCGAGACCGCCGGUGAUAAACCGGAGGAAGGUGUGGAUGACAUCAAGUCAUCAUGCCCCUUACAUCCUGGGCUACACACGUACUACAAUGCUACGGACAAAGGGCAGCGAGCUCGCGAGAGUAAGCAAAUCCCAUAAACCGUGGCUCAGUUCAGAUCGUAGGCUGCAACUCGCCUACGUGAAGGAGGAAUCGCUAGUAAUCGCAGGUCAGCAUACUGCGGUGAAUACGUUCCCGGGCCUUGUACACACCGCCCGUCACACCAUGGAAGUUGGCCAUGCCCGAAGUCGUUACUCCAACCCUUGUGGAGGAGGACGCCGAAGGUGGGGCUGAUGACUGGGGUGAAGUCGUAACAAGGUAGCCGUACCGGAAGGUGC
rnacentral:rRNA from 1 species